ensembl:snRNA U6 U6 spliceosomal RNA
AUGCUUGCUUGGGUAGCACAUAAACUAAAAUUGGAACAAUAUAGAGAAUAUUAGCAUGGCCCUUGUGCUAGGGUGACACACAAAUUUGUGAAGCAUUCCAUAUUUUU